GGACUUACUCCUAGUUGGAAUAUCUGACCGAUAAUCAGACAGUAGAGGUUAAAAUCCUCUUAAGUCCU
rnacentral:tRNA from 1 species